rnacentral:tRNA from 2 species
CUCUGGUUAGCUCAGUUGGUAGAGCGCUCCACUGGAAAUGGAGAGGUCCCGGGUUCGAUACCCGGACCAGGCG